rnacentral:rRNA from 1 species
UACGGGGGGGCAAGCGUUGUUCGGAAUUACUGGGCGUAAAGGGCUCGUAGGCGGCCAACUAAGUCAGACGUGAAAUCCCUCGGCUUAACCGGGAACUGCGUCUGAUACUGGAUGGCUUGAGUGUGGGAGAGGGAUGCGGAAUUCCAGGUGUAGCGGUGAAAUGCGUAGAUAUCUGGAGGAACACCGGUGGCGAAGGCGGCAUCCUGGACCACGACUGACGCUGAGUGAGCG